rnacentral:rRNA from 1 species
UACGAAGGGGGCUAGCGUUGCUCGGAAUUACUGGGCGUAAAGCGCACGUAGGCGGCUUUCUAAGUCAGGGGUGAAAUCCUGGAGCUCAACUCCAGAACUGCCUUUGAUACUGAGGAUCUUGAGUUCGGGAGAGGUGAGUGGAACUGCGAGUGUAGAGGUGAAAUUCGUAGAUAUUCGGAAGAACACCAGUGGCGAAGGCGACUCGCUGGACAAGUAUUGACGCUGAGGUGCGAAAGCGUGGGGAGCAAACAGG